UACAGGAAGCAAGUGGAGAAUGGAAGCACACGCAUGGAAGUGCAGGAAAUAUAAGCUUCCAGAGAUUCCCACUGCUUCUGAGAAUCCAGAGCACUUGUGUUCUCCUGAUUGUGUAUUUGCAGUGUGUUAACCCAGUUCCUCUGAAAGCUGAAGCCACAGAGUAUCAGCAAGUAUAUCUGCAUCUGCACCAAUUCUCUGAUUCAGCUAUGACAUAACAUGACUCUUUUCCCAAAAGCACUGAGUCCCAUAGCAUUCUUACGGCCACAGGGGUGUAUGUACAAACAAAUGAUGUCUCUCCAGGGAGCUUUCAUGUGCCUCGAAAGAAGAAAUCUUUCUUUUCAGCAAACAGCAGAAUGGCUGACACAUCUCUCUGUGUGAUCUGGCUGACAUGCCCACAUAGCACCUAUAAUCAGGGGCUGCCAGCAGUGCCCGGGGGGACAUAAAGCAGCGUGGUGAUGCCCCGCCGUGACAGCCGUCCUUGUUCCAGCUGACAGGUCCGUAUGCGGGGCACAUCACUGGUGUAAAUACAGGCAGGAGUCUCUGCCUCUGGGGAGAUAGUGUUAUCUCCAGCGUCAAGGCGUUCUCCCAUCCAUCCUCCACAAAACCUGUCCCCUGAGAAGCACACGGCAUCUCGCCCCCACACCUCCCCUCUCACCCUGCCUACACCGCAAUCUUGGCACUAACUCACCUCUGGACUCGAAGCGUGCUAUUGUGGUGAAAACAGAAUGAGGGUCACUUACUGGUUGCUGGAUGUAUGCGUAUGAAUAUGUACCCUGCAUGUCCAUGGCAUUUUGGGGCACAGCUAGUUUGGACUUACCAUCCCUGACUUUCCCUGAUGUUCAAGGAAUGUGAAUUACUCCACAGAUUCAGAAGGGUCUCUACACAUGACCUCCAACAGAAGGAGGCAGAGACGAUGAAAUGGACUAAUCCUCCCUUUCAUUUUUUCUUUUUCAUUAAAAAGAGAUUUAAAGUGUGAAA